rnacentral:rRNA from 1 species
CCCUUAGAUGUUCUGGGCAGCACGCGCGCUACAAUGGUCUUCGCAAACGGAUGCAUUCUCGAAGGAGAAUGCCAAUCUUCGAAUCUAUGCCUUGGUCGGGACAGUUGCUUGCAAUUUUUCGACUCGAACCAGGAAUUCCUUGUAAUCGUGAUUCAUCACAUCACGAUGAAUACGUCCCUGCCCUUUGUACACACCGCCCGUCGCUCCUACCGAUCGAAGAGUUAGGUGAAUUGUUUUGAUCGAUAAGAUUUGACUAUGGUCAACUCUCGUUGUGAAAUUCUGUGAAUCUGACUGUUUAGAGGAAGGAAAAGUCGUAACA